rnacentral:rRNA from 1 species
GAUGAACGCUGGCGGCGUGCCUAAUACAUGCAAGUAGAACGCUGAAGCUUGGUGCUUGCACCGAGCGGAUGAGUUGCGAACGGGUGAGUAACGCGUAGGUAACCUGCCUCUUAGCGGGGGAUAACUAUUGGAAACGAUAGCUAAUACCGCAUAAAAGUCGAUAUCGCAUGAUAUUGAUUUGAAAGGUGCAAUUGCAUCACUAAGAGAUGGACCUGCGUUGUAUUAGCUAGUUGGUGAGGUAACGGCUCACCAAGGCGACGAUACAUAGCCGACCUGAGAGGGUGAUCGGCCACACUGGGACUGAGACACGGCCCAGACUCCUACGGGAGGCAGCAGUAGGGAAUCUUCGGCAAUGGGGGCAACCCUGACCGAGCAACGCCGCGUGAGUGAAGAAGGUUUUCGGAUCGUAAAGCUCUGUUGUAAGAGAAGAACGAGUGUGAGAGUGGAAAGUUCACACUGGACG